rnacentral:rRNA from 1 species
GACGAACGCUGGCGGCGUGCCUAAUACAUGAAAGUCGAGCGGACGAAUCGAAAGCUUGCUUUUGAUUCGUUAGCGGCGGACGGGUGAGUAACACGUGGGCAACCUGCCCUGUAGACGGGGAUAACACCGAGAAAUCGGUGCUAAUACCGGAUAACACGAAAUGUCGCAUGACGUUUCGUUGAAAGACGGCGCAAGCUGUCGCUACAGGAUGGGCCCGCGGCGCAUUAGCUAGUUGGUGAGGUAACGGCUCACCAAGGUGACGAUGCGUAGCCGACCUGAGAGGGUGAUCGGCCACACUGGGACUGAGACACGGCCCAGCCUCCUACGGGAGGCAGCAGUAGGGAAUCUUCCGCAAUGGACGAAAGUCUGACGGAGCAACGCCGCGUGAGCGAAGAAGGCCUUCUGGUCGUAAAGCUCUGUUGUUAGGGAAGAACAAGUAACGCAGUAACUGGCGUUACCGUGACGGUACCUAACUAGAAAGCCACGGCUAACUACGUG